rnacentral:misc_RNA from 1 species
AAGUCGUAACAAGGUUUCCGUAGGUGAACCUGCGGAAGGAUCAUUAACACUUAAUCAUCCAAAACCUUUGGAUCAACCCAACCUUUAGCGAACCGUUCUUUGGGAACUCUAGCACUUGAGGGCUGUUUCCUUACCCUGAGGGCAAGGUCAGCACUCGAGGAAAAGGGAACCCUUGUCUUUGCCAUUUUACCAUAGUAAACCCAACGAAAUUCUGAUGUAAAGUGUCUGAUUCUAUAUUCUGUUGGUGCUCGAAAGGGCCUAGCGGAAUCAAAAUCUAACGCAAUACAACUCUUAACAACGGAUAUCUUGGCUCUC